rnacentral:rRNA from 1 species
AACGAACGCUGGCGGCAUGCCUAACACAUGCAAGUCGAACGAGACCUUCGGGUCUAGUGGCGCGCGGGUGCGUAACGCGUGGGAAUUUGCCUCGGGGUACGGAAUAACUCAGGGAAACUUGAGCUAAUACCGUAUGAUGUCUUCGGACCAAAGAUUUAUCGCCCUGAGAUAAGCCCGCGUAGGAUUAGCUAGUUGGUGAGGUAAGAGCUCACCAAGGCGACGAUCCUUAGCUGGUCUGAGAGGAUGAUCAGCCACACUGGGACUGAGACACGGCCCAGACUCCUACGGGAGGCAGCAGUGGGGAAUAUUGGACAAAUGGGCGAAAGCCUGAUCCAGCAAUGCCGCGUGAGUGAUGAAGGCCUUCGGGUUGUUAAAGGUACU